AGCGCCCCGCGCCGCCGCAGCGCCCAGGGAGACUGGCAAGCGGCCGAGGGCGACAGUAGCCUUCCUUGUGUUCUGCACCCUGGGGCUCUGUUGGAGUCGCCUCCCGACAAACGUUUUCCCCCAUCUAUCUCAUCCGCAGUUCCCUUCGCGCCCCGCCGUGACUCCCUUCCCUAGCUCCUCGCCAGCCAAGGCGCGUGCGCACGAGGCCCCACCGUUUCGGGGCAUCCCCCCGAGCGCUAAAUUCGUGCGUUCCAGCGCGCCUAGGCUAUGGGGUGUGCUCGUCCCGCGCUAGAGGCGGCGUUCCGGCCUGCCGACCCCAGAAACCCAAAGCACCCGGCGCAGUCGCCGUCCUCAGCCCUGACCGCGGGGUCACUGCUGGCUUUUCCCUCCUUGAAUUCCCAUUCAUGGGUUUCGCUAGAGACCGCUGCGGCAGUGACGUCAGCGGGCCGCGCGAGCACCGUCCUCCUGGCUACGUCACUGCCAGUCCCUCGGUGGGGCCAGGCUCCAGCGCUCGCCUGGCAGAUGCGGCCCCGGGGCCAUCCCGAGCCCGAGGGGCGGAGAGGGGAGCCGAGAAUUCGGAAGUGAGAAGGGGACCCGGAGACAAAGGGAAAAAACCAAGACUGAGAAAGAAGUGAGAGUAUGGGUGAAAAGAAUGAGAAAGGAUGAUACUGAGAAGACAAAGGGAAAAAGUAGACUGCAUGCCCCUCUACCAAAAGUGUUGUUUGUUGACUUUCGAUUUUUCGAAAGCGAGAAAAGAUAAAGAGCUCUUGACCUGUUUUGUAAGCUAGAUGUGUAAUUUGAGUGUUCAUUUUGUCACAUUUCUCACUAAACGGUCAAAGCUUUCAGCAUCAACUAAUUGUUUCUAAUGCAUUCCAGCCUUUGGGAUUUCAGCCUGAACAACCUCUCCCCUGCUGGCAAAAUUAUUGCUUUGGUUCAGUUCUUAGGGCAUCCACCCUUCUACUGAUUUGUGAUGACUAGCCACUGACAAGGUGGAAGGCCUUUGAAAGCACUGCAUAACUUCCACUGAUGAUGAGAUCACAUACCAAAUGCACAUAAUCCGGUAAAUGAGCAAAAGUAGACCUUUUAUCAUCUUCCCAUGGCAUGUUUCUUUUCUCUUGCUAAAACUUUAUACCUCCUACGUGGAUAUUUUUCUACCUGUCUGCUUUCUACUAUUAAAAGAACUAUGACCUCCAACGUGGUCUUGUGGA
ensembl:lncRNA PDE7A-DT PDE7A divergent transcript